CUUCGUGCCACACUUUAUCAAACGCUUGUGAUACAUCUAGAAAUUCUGCUGGGCAGUAUUCCUUAUUUUCGAAUACUCUUUCGAUUGUCGUAGUUAGCCUAUGUAUUUGUUCUAUUGUUGAGUGUUUGUUUCUGAAACCAAAUUGAAAGUCCGGUAUUUUCACUAAAGGUCUUAGUCGUUUAAUCAGUAAUUUUUCGAAGAUAUUUGAAAUUGUUGGCAGCAGUGAGAUUGGCCUGUAAGAAGUCACUUUAUCUGGGGGUUUAUCUUAUUUUCGUAACAUAAUUACUUGCGCAAUUUUCAAGCUUUUCGGUACAAAUUUUAAUGUUAAACAGGCAUUGAAAAGAUAUGUGAUCUCAUCUAUUCCCGUGAAGUUUUUUAAUCUUUUGUUUGGUCCGUACGUUGGUGUUGUGUCCACGUUUGAUUGUAUAACAUCGUGCGGUUGAAAGACUUCUGCAAGAUGUUUUGCGGAGAAUUCCGUUUUUUCACUAUCUUCCCUUAGCCAUUUCCCAGUGUAGUCCUUUAUAGGAGCGAUUUGGACUUGUGGGCGUUUGAAUCUUCUGGUUGAUUUCCAUAGUGAAUAAUCUUUAUCUUUAUCUUUAUCUGGACUUAAAUUGCUCAGGUAGUUGUCAAGACAUUCUU